UACGAAGGGGGCAAGCGUUGUUCGGAAUUACUGGGCGUAAAGGGCGCGUAGGCGGCUUAUCAAGUCAGGCGUGAAAUUCCCGGGCUCAACCUGGGGGCUGCGCUUGAUACUGAUGAGCUUGAAUGCGGGAGAGGAUAGUGGAAUUCCCAGUGUAGAGGUGAAAUUCGUAGAUAUUGGGAAGAACACCGGUGGCGAAGGCGGCUAUCUGGCCCGUAAUUGACGCUGAGGCGCGAAAGCGUGGGGAGCAAACA
rnacentral:rRNA from 1 species